AUGUCAAGAAAACUUGUUUAUAUUUGGCACAAAUGUUCACUGGGACUGAAUCAAAGAACCGAUGAAAGGAAAUUAGUCGUCAAAGGUCAAAGGUCACCGUGAGCUCAUAGAACAUGUCCUAACUAGAAUGUCACUCGGUAAAGUUCACAGCUCCACAGCUGUCCCCUCAGGAAACCACAGUUCAAUUCACCGGAUCUGGAUUUUUAUUUGGAUCGGCACCAGACUUCCUAAAUAUCAGUCUCCUCAUCACUGCAAGAGAAGAGAAGAGAAGAGGUGUUUCCUGCAGCUUGACUGGUUGGUGGAGACAAACGAUCCCAUCGGGGACAUUUGUCCAUUCGUGUCUCGGCCACUUUAAUAAUGAUCCGUCUCUGUUUGCUGACUGUUCUUCAUCCUUCUUCUUUACCAGCUCUGCUCUUUGUGUUUGUUUAAAUGAUGCUGCCUCCUGAUGUUCUGUGGAUGAUAAGGAGUCACACUAACAUUUACAUGUAGGGACUGUGUUCCUCCUCUGCUCCUGCUCUCCCUCUCUCCAUGUUUCCCCUCCCUCUCUCUCUCUCUCCCUCUCUCUCUGUGUGAAUGCCACAGGCCUCUCACCCCUUUGGUCCAGAUUUAGACCUCAGUCUUUCCCAGACUUCCAGCUGUCUGAAGCCGCCCGCUGCUGCGUCCACUCCCUCGUCUUUUUCUUUUGUGUCCGAUUCUCCCUUCGUCCCUUCCUCUCGUCCUCUGUCCUCCUUCACCAUGCGUGGACUCUUUCAUCACCUCUCUGUCUGACAUGGUGGCAGAUCACAGAUGUUUCAGGGCGACCGUGUGUCGGAGUCUCGCAGUCUUUCGUUUUUAUGCCCAUGUUUUCACCGGUCGGUCUGUUUCCACAGAGGCAGGAGUCCUGCUCCUCUCCCCCAGCCAUGGAGCCUCUUCCUGAGGUUCCGUUAUUUGAAAUGGACGAGGAUGAGGAGGAAGAUGCUUCCUCACGGAAGAGCAGAGGCACAGACCCUGACACGUUCAUAUACAUGAACUUCAUGAAGAGUCACUGCUGCUACGACGCCAUCCCCACCAGCUCCAAACUGGUCAUCUUCGACACAAAGCUACAGGUGAAGAAGGCGUUCUUCGCUCUGGUGGCUAACGGUGUGAGGGCGGCGCCUCUGUGGGACGACAAGCUUCAGUGUUUUGUGGGAAUGCUGACCAUCACCGACUUCAUCAACAUUCUCCAUCGAUACUACAGAUCUCCUCUGGUUCAGAUCUAUGAGCUGGAGGAACACAAGAUCGAGACGUGGAGAGAGAUCUAUCUUCAGUACUCCAUUAACAGACUGAUCAGCAUUACUCCUGAAUCAAGUCUGUUCGAUGCCAUCUACUCUUUGCUGAAGAAUAAGAUCCACCGGCUGCCGGUCAUCGACCCGGCAUCAGGAAACGUCCUUCACAUCCUCACUCACAAACGCAUCCUCAAGUUCCUCCACAUCUUUGGAUCCAUGAUUCCCAAACCCAGGUUUCUGCAGAAGCGGAUCAGUGAAGUGGAGAUUGGAACUUUCAGAGAAAUUGCAACGGUGCAGGAAUCGGCCUCCGUGUACGACGCCCUGACGAUUUUCGUAGAGAGACGAGUGUCGGCUCUGCCUGUGGUCAAUGAGCGAGGCAAAGUGGUGGCGCUGUACUCCAGGUUUGACGUCAUUAAUCUCGCAGCUCAGAAAAACUACAACAACCUGAACAUGACGAUGCAGGAGGCCGUCGCCUCCAGAGCCUGCUGCAUGGAGGGGGUCCUCAAGUGUUACCCUCACGAAACACUGGAGACCAUCAUCGACCGCAUUGCAAAGGCCGAGGUGCAUCGUUUGGUGUUGGUCGACAGUGAUGAUGUGGUCAGAGGGAUUGUUUCUUUAUCGGACCUCCUACAAGCUCUGGUCCUCACCCCUGCAGUGCUCCAUCUUCCACAACAACUUCAGAAACCUACCAUACCCAAAUCCUCUCAUUCUACCGAACCUCCGACCUUCAUCUGAAGUUCCCACCAAUCAGCCUUUCGUCCUCAGCCUCUCCGUUCUCUGAGGUCUCCGACACUUUCACCCAGACUUCCAUCAGUCGGCCAGCGUCUUCUCGCUGCGGCUCCUCCUCUGACACCAACUAGCCACCAGCUCCUUUUAUCCAGCACGACUCAGAUAUUUACAGUCUGAGAGAUCGUCCCGUCGACCCCGAAGAAAACCAGGUGGAGGCGACUCGUGUAAAACCAGAGAACAAGGAGGCGCAGCAGGAUCGUGAACUGGUUUCAGUUCGAGUCUAGAGGAGGAACAUUGGAGGGAAAAGUGAAAGCAGGAACACUUACGCUCUCCUCAAUGAGCUCAGUGACGUGGCCUUUAAUGCAACACUUCAUUCCCUGGUGAAAGAGACGUUGAACUAAACCAACUUAGAAACUGAACUGGACUCAAGAGUUGAAUUCGAAAUCAGUUUGGAAGCUGCGUUGCUCGGAUUGAUUGAUUUGCUGAUAUGAUAAAAAAAAAAAAAUGAUUGUAUAGAUUUUUUUCUUAACUUUGUGGUCUUAGAAUAGUUACAACUUGAUGCAUAAAAACUUGGAAUUGUG